UACACUCCUGCGGGAGGCAGCAGUGGGGAAUUUUGGACAAUGGGCGAAAGCCUGAUCCAGCAAUGCCGCGUGAGUGAAGAAGGCCUUCGGGUUGUAAAGCUCUUUUGUCAGGGAAGAAACGGUGAAAGCUAAUAUCUUUUGCUAAUGACGGUACCUGAAGAAUAAGCACCGGCUAACUACGUGCCAGCAGCCGCGGUAAUACGUAGGGUGCAAGCGUUAAUCGGAAUUACUGGGCGUAAAGCGUGCGCAGGCGGUUUUGUAAGUCUGAUGUGAAAUCCCCGGGCUCAACCUGGGAAUUGCAUUGGAGACUGCAAGGCUAGAAUCUGGCAGAGGGGGGUAGAAUUCCACGUGUAGCAGUGAAAUGCGUAGAUAUGUGGAGGAACACCGAUGGCGAAGGCAGCCCCCUGGGUCAAGAUUGACGCUCAUGCACGAAAGCGUGGGGAGCAAACAGGAUUAGAUACCCGUGUAGUCCCA
rnacentral:rRNA from 1 species